rnacentral:tRNA from 1 species
GAGGGUGUGGCUCAUGGGUAGAGCAUGUGACUAGCAUGCAUGAGGUCCUGGGUUCAAUCCCUGGUAUCUCUG